AGCCCUGGGACACAGGAAUUAGCUCCAGGAGAAUCCAGUCACCUGAUCUGUAUUCUGGGCAGGUCACUUAAUCCCGCCCCACCCUGGUGAUUCCUGAGACUCAUCGCGUGGCUAAGGCCAGGCACUGAGGAUAUAGUGAUGAACAAAACAGAUAAAACCCCUAUCACUGUGGAGGUUACACUUUAGUGUGACAUGCAGAAAAUAAACAAGAUGACAAGGAUUCAUGGAAUAUUCCACCAUUCCUCAGUGCCAUCUGUGGGUCCUGAAUGUUCCUGGUUUGCUCCCAGACUGUAAUUUCAACACGGGAAUAUUCCACAUACUUUUUUUUUUUAAAUAACAUGGA